AUUGAACGCUGGCGGCAUGCCUUACACAUGCAAGUCGAACGGCAGCGGACCUUCGGGUGCCGGCGAGUGGCGAACGGGUGAGUAAUAUAUCGGAACGUACCUUUCAGUGGGGGAUAACGUAGCGAAAGUUACGCUAAUACCGCAUAUUCUGUGAGCAGGAAAGCAGGGGAUCGCAAGACCUUGCGCUGAUUGAGCGGCCGAUAUCAGAUUAGCUAGUUGGUGAGGUAAAGGCUCACCAAGGCGACGAUCUGUAGCGGGUCUGAGAGGAUGAUCCGCCACACUGGAACUGAGACACGGUCCAGACUCCUACGGGAGGCAGCAGUGGGGGAAUUUUGGACAAUGGGGGCAACCCUGAUCCAGCCAUGCCGCGUGAGUGAAGAAGGCCUUCGGUUG
rnacentral:rRNA from 1 species